rnacentral:ncRNA from 1 species
AGCGCAUGGUCUUGUGCCUGACGGAUGUGCAGGGGCGCAAGAUGACGAGGAUGGAGGUUGUCGAUAUAUCAGCGGAUGCCUCCCGGUGGGAUGCCCCAUCGUCAGCAGCUGUCAAAGCCCCCGGGCGACUGAGGGUACAAAGCAGCGU